AGUGAACGCUGGCGGUAGGCCUAACACAUGCAAGUCGAACGGCAGCACAGUAAGAGCUUGCUCUUACGGGUGGCGAGUGGCGGACGGGUGAGGAAUACAUCGGAAUCUACUUUUUCGUGGGGGAUAACGUAGGGAAACUUACGCUAAUACCGCAUACGACCUACGGGUGAAAGCAGGGGAUCUUCGGACCUUGCGCGAUUGAAUGAGCCGAUGUCGGAUUAGCUAGUUGGCGGGGUAAAGGCCCACCAAGGCGACGAUCCGUAGCUGGUCUGAGAGGAUGAUCGGCCACACUGGAACUGAGACACGGUCCAGACUCCUACGGGAGGCAGCAGUGGGGAAUAUUAGGCAAUGGGCGCGAGCCUGAUCCAGCCAUACCGCGUGGGUGGAGAAGGCCUUCGGGUUGUAAAGCCCUUUUGUUGGGAAAGAAAAGCAGCAGGUUAAUACCCCGCUGUUCUGACGGUACCCAAAGAAUAAGCACCGGCUAACUUCGUG
rnacentral:rRNA from 1 species